AUUUCUCUCACAUGCUACUGUAACUAGAUUUAUUUUUUCCCCUUCUCAGUCUCUACUUUCUUACUCUUAACCAUAACUGGAGCAGAGGAUUUGAUCAGAUUAGCUGGUUCAGAUGGGUAUUGCUCUGGAAGAGUCGAAAUCUACCACAACGUUGCCCGGGGAACGGUCUGUGACGAUAGAUGGGACAGAAGUGAGGCACAAGUUGUUUGCAGACAGUUGGGUUGUGGAGAGCAGUCAGAUAUUCCUCCACCAGGCUACUUUGGUCCGGGCACUGGACCGAUCUGGAUGGACGAUGUGAGCUGUUCAGGAAGCGAAACGUCUCUUUCCACUUGUUCGCAUCGGGGAUUUGGAACACACAACUGUGAACACUAUGAGGAUGUUGGUGUCAUUUGUUCAUAUCAUAAAAUCCUACCAUAUGGGUCAUGCAAUGGAAAUGUUCAAAUAUAUCAUGGCGGCGCCUGGAGGCUGAUUGAUAAUAAUAACUUCAACAUGAAUGCUGCUAAUGUGGCCUGCAGACAGAUGGGUUGUGGUCCAGCAUCAUCAAUCUAUUAGCUACAACCCCAACUCCAACAUCUCUUUAUGAGAUGACUUGCUCUGGAAGUGAAAGUUCUCUAGCAGAAUGUCAAAGUGGUUCUGUGGUAACCAGCUCUGGAACAUAUUCUGGUGUUCGGUGUGCAGGUCACCCAGUAUAAUUAAUCGGGCCGUCCCGGUGCUCUGGAAGAGUUGAAAUUUACUACAGUUAUGCAUGGGAAAUGGUGUGCGAUAAUGGCUGGGACAUGAAUGAUGCCCAGGUGGUCUUCAGACAGUUGGGUUGUGGUACAGCGCUGGCUGCUCCUCACUCUGCCUACUUCGGAAAAGGAAUGAAUAAAAUCUGGGUUGAUAAUGUGAGCUGUACAGGGAGGGAAACGUACCUCACUGAAUGUCCAUUUAGUGGAUUUCAAGCAUACAGCUGCAGCCACAGUCAGGAUGCAGGUGUCAUCUGUUCAGGCCUGAUAAAACCCACGAUCACAAUAAAUCCUCAGUGACAUUAGCUUUGGUCAGAAUGUCAGCAUCACUUGUUUGGUCCCCGAUGGAUAAGUAGGGGGAACGUUCAUCUUCAAUCGGACCUCGGAUGGUUUUGGUCAGACCGUAGAGUCGAACAGCGACUCUGGAACAUUUUACAUCCCUCAAAUUGGUUUUGAGCAAGAGGGAAACUAUCAUUGUCAGUUUCACAUAAGGGUUGCUAAUGAGAACUUCAGCACAUACAUUAGCAACCCUGUUCAGCUAUAUUCAAAAGUAGUCCUUCCACAACCCACCAUCUCCUUGGAUCCAGCUGGUGUGAUUACUUGGGGUCAGCUUGUUGCCAUCACUUGUUCCAUCUCAACACCGUUUUUAAAUGGGUCGUUCAUUCUACAGAAAUACCAACCAGAUUCUUAUCAAAACAUUAAGACCCAGUCGUCAAGCACCAACUCUUCCACACUCAGAUUUCUUGAAGUCAACUCUGAUCAUGUGGGAAAUUACAAGUGUUAUUAUGAAAAAACAGUUGCAUCUCGAACUCUUACUUCCCCUUUAAGUGAGAAUGUUAAACUUUCUAUUACUGGUAGUUAAACCGAUGGACACAAAAAUGGAUUUAUGCGACUUUCCUGAUAUUGUCUUUUUUUUAAGAUUGUACCUUUUGUUUUGGCAUUAUUCUUGCUUAGAUUCCCAAGUCACUCAAUGUUUCCCAGCUCUGAAAAAAAUACACCCAUCCUGGUAGUUUCUGUAUAUAACUCAUAAUUAUUGUGAAAUAUUAAUGAUAAAGAAUUUGUUAAUU